GUUAGCAUAAACUUUUCAAAAAACAAAAAAAUAAACUAUCAAUCCCAAACAUUUGAAAGGUAGUGUAGUUGUACAGAAAACUUCAAUUUCAUGUUCCGAACAAAACUGUAAAACUCAAAAUUGACUCAAUUUUAGGCUGUAUGAGUUACAAGUGUGAAGUUGUUUUAUCAGCUUUAAAACAAUGCAUACCAUACAAUCAAAGCCCUAUUUUGCACCUCAAUCAUGGAAGGGGCUGUAAACGUUUAAAGGAGGGAAAGAGGGGAAAGGUGGCAACCCCCUCCGAAGAAUCUGGCAGGAAUGUGAAAUACCAUAAAACAAGAGUCUUAAGGGUCAGAAUUUUUAUUAAUUUCACUGACAGAACCAUCACGGAGCAUUGAAAGGAAGGGAAUUCAGGAGUUCUCUGUGGAUUCACAUGUAUCACGAGAGGAAAUUUAGGGGGAAGGAGAGAAGGUGAACAAAGGGAGAAGGCGAGAAGAGGGAGAGGAGUGACAAAGGAAAAGAAACAAUAGAAAAAGGCACUUCUACUCUUUCAGUAACCAGUCUGAUGCACCAAUCUCUGGAAUUAAAACAAAAUAUAUUUGUACGAAAAACAGAAGAUGAGCAUUAUAUAAAAAGACUGCAACCCAAACACACCCAACAGAGAGAGCAUGUAAACAAAGCCGGUUUCUCUGUACAACACCGACCAGACUCGCUUCGGUCUGUGGGAGCGCCAGGAGUCUUGAAUGUAAAACGUGUGUGUAUGGGACAGUCUCAUCUACCUGUCUUCACUCACGUAAAAAAAAAAAAAAAAAAAAAAAAAAAGUGUAACAAUGGUCAGAAGAACCAGCACCAGCUUGUGGCAAGAGCCCAAAGCUUUCUGUAGGACACCAAGGGAAGACCACAGAGCCGGUACGCAGGACAUACACCAUGACUACGGUGUUCAAGCAAAUGAAAACAAGUAUUCAUUGUCUUUAAAAACUAUUCCUUUCAUAUGUUAAAAAAAAAGAAAAAAAAAAAAAAAAGUAAUAAAGGCAGUCACACCUUGAGAUCCCAGGCUUUUCUGUACCGACGCCGAGGCUCAAGAGGAUCACCAAGCAAAUAUUAGGUUGAGUAUUCAAGUAUGGAGCGAUUCAAGAGGCGGAGGAGGCCCCUCUGCGCCAGCGAGGGAGCAGGGCUUCUCUGUAGCUACGCCCGCUGUCGCCACACGCAGAGAGGGAGUGCUUUGCCUCCGCCGUGGUCUAGUAGAACAUCACAUAACAGCUACCAGAAGGUUUAAUCUGGAAUCACCAUCAAGACCGAAGGGGAACGGUUGCGUCGCCAGUCCUGCAGAACCACAACAGUUGGUAGCAGCUUCUGACUUCUCUGUAACACGUCAGAAAUAA